AUUGAACACACCCAGGAGGUGUGUGGACUAACUUGGUCCCCGGACGGACGCCACCUGGCGAGUGGUGGCAAUGACAAUGUAGUGAAUGUGUGGGACACCACCUUGGCUCUAGAAGGAGUCUCCCCUGUACAGACCUUCACACACCAUCUUGCAGCAGUUAAGGCUUUAGCCUGGUGUCCAUGGAAUCCUGUGAUACUAGCCUCAGGGGGAGGGACUGCUGACCGACACAUCAGACUCUGGAACAUUUCUAAUGGUUCUUGUGUAAAUGCCAUAGACACAAACUCUCAGGUGUGCUCCAUUCUAUGGUCCACUGAGCUUAAAGAAAUGAUCUCGGGUCAUGGCUACUCACAGAACCAACUGACUAUCUGGAAGUACCCACAAAUGAACAGAAUCGCCGAGCUUACAGGACACGAGGCUCGAGUCCUGAGUCUGACUAUGUCCCCCUGUGGUACGACUGUGGCCAGUGCAGCAGCUGAUGAGACCAUCAGGUUAUGGAAAUGCUUUGCCAAGGACAAAGAGAAGGUCAAGAAAACUGCUCAGACCAAAUCGGUGAAGGAAACAUUCUCCCUGCCAUCCAGGAUCCGCUAAUUCAUUGAAGUCCAACACAGGACCUUCUUGUCAUCGAUUUUAAAUGACGAGCUAUUGGUAAAAGGACGUGCAGGCAUGUAUAUGUAUGAUGGGUUAAAGCCAAAAAUUUAUUGCUCCUGAAACCAGAUGAAGCUCAAUGAAACAAGAGUAAAAUUGAUGAUACUGGACAGGUGCUGUUUGCAUGUAUUUCUUGGAAUUCUCAUGUCUGUACCGUGUACAGUUUGUCACUGAGCCAAUCAGAUCAGCCAGAGCUGUGGGUUUGAAAGGGGACAUCUGGAGAGACUGGGAAUGCCAGAUAGCUUUUAAUAUCCCUCUUUAAAAAUCAUCUCCUUUGUUUUAAUAUCCAUUGAUAAGUAUAAUACAAUAUUGAUAAUAAUUAUUUUGAAUUGAUGUUUGCAUUUUAGCAUUCCUGAUUUAGUUCAAUUGUGGAUCAAUUUUCAUUCUGUAUAUACAUGUCAUCCAAAUGCUUCAAGUUUCUUUUUAUUUUGCAUGUAAUUUUUGUUUUGUUCAAUUUUAAUGCCAUAUCCUGUUCAGUUACUACAUGUGUCUUGGACUAUGUUGAGGCCAUUUAAAGUUUGCAGAAAUUUAAAUAAA
rnacentral:misc_RNA from 1 species